rnacentral:rRNA from 1 species
GGAAUUUUGGACAAUGGGCGAAAGCCUGAUCCAGCAAUGCCGCGUGCAGGAUGAAGGCCUUCGGGUUGUAAACUGCUUUUGUACGGAACGAAAAGCUUUGGGUUAAUACCCUGGAGUCAUGACGGUACCGUAAGAAUAAGCCCCGGCUAACUACGUGCCAGCAGCCGCGGUAAUACGUAGGGUGCAAGCGUUAAUCGGAAUUACUGGGCGUAAAGCGUGCGCAGGCGGUUUUGUAAGACAGAGGUGAAAUCCCCGGGCUCAACCUGGGAACUGCCUUUGUGACCGCAAGGCUAGAGUACGGCAGAGGGGGGUGGAAUUCCGCGUGUAGCAGUGAAAUGCGUAGAUAUGCGGAGGAACACCGAUGGCGAAGGCAACCCCCUGGGCCUGUACUGACGCUCAUGCACGAAAGCGUGGGGAGCAAACAGGA